rfam:Loxodonta africana unplaced genomic scaffold scaffold_0, whole genome shotgun sequence.
CUGUGGUGCAAUUGUUAAGCACUUGGCUGUUAACCAAAAGGUUGGUGGUUUGAACCCACCUAG